UACGAAGGGGGCUAGCGUUGCUCGGAAUUACUGGGCGUAAAGCGCGCGUAGGCGGAUCUGCAAGUCGGGGGUGAAAUCCCGAGGCUCAACCUCGGAACUGCCUUCGAUACUGCGGGUCUCGAGUCCGGGAGAGGUGAGUGGAAUUCCUAGUGUAGAGGUGAAAUUCGUAGAUAUUAGGAAGAACACCAGUGGCGAAGGCGGCUCACUGGCCCGGUACUGACGCUGAGGCGCGAAAGCGUGGGGAGCAAACAGG
rnacentral:rRNA from 1 species